rnacentral:rRNA from 1 species
AUGCAGUCGACGGCAGCACGGGGGCAACCCUGGUGGCGAGUGGCGAACGGGUGAGUAACAUAUCGGAACAUAUCCGGAAGUGGGGGAUAACGUACCGAAAGGUACGCUAAUACCGCAUAUGCCCUGAGGGGGAAAGGAGGGGAUCGCAAGACCUUUCGCUUUCGGAGUGGCCGAUAUCGGAUUAGCUAGUUGGUGAGGUAAAGGCUCACCAAGGCGACGAUCCGUAGCUGGUCUGAGAGGACGACCAGCCACACUGGAACUGAGACACGGUCCAGACUCCUACGGGAGGCAGCAGUGGGGAAUUUUGGACAAUGGGGGCAACCCUGAUCCAGCCAUGCCGCGUGAGUGAAGAAGGCCUUCGGGUUGUAAAGCUCUUUCAGACGGAAAGAAACGGUCACGGCCAACACCCGUGACUAAUGACGGUACCGUCAGAAGAAGCACCGGCUAACUACGUGCCAGCAGCCGCGGUAAUACGUAGGGUGCGAGCGUUAAUCGGAAUUACUGGGCGUAAAGCGUGCGCAGGCGGUUUUGUAAGACAGACGUGAAAUCCCCGGGCUUAACCUGGGAACUGCGUUUGUGACUGCAAGACUAGAGUGUAGCAGAGGGGGGUAGAAUUCCACGUGUAGCAGUGAAAUGCGUAGAUAUGUGGAGGAAUACCGAUGGCGAAGGCAGCCCCCUGGGCUAACACUGACGCUCAUGCACGAAAGCGUGGGGAGCAAACAGGAUUAGAUACCCUGGUAGUCCACGCCCUAAACGAUGUCAACUAGGUGUUGGGGAAGGAGACUUCUUUAGUACCGCAGCUAACGCGAUAAGUUGACCGCCUGGGGAGUACGGUCGCAAGAUUAAAACUCAAAGGAAUUGACGGGGACCCGCACAAGCGGUGGAUUAUGUGGAUUAAUUCGAUGCAACGCGAAAAACCUUACCUACCCUUUGACAUGUCAGGAAGAUACCAGAGAUGGGAUUUGUGCCCGAAAGGGACCCUGAACACAGGUGCUGCAUGGCUGUCGUCAGCUCGGUGUCUGAGAGUUUGGGUAAGUUCCCGCAACGAGCGC